UCGCGGGCCUCUCUGAAAGCCCAUUUGGGGGUGACGGUGAACUGCAACAGCACCCACUUUCAUCCCUAGGAGACCUGGAAUCCCUUGCUGUCUACCUAACGGAACUUCUGGGGUAAGUCUCCUGCGGCACCAGGCGGCAGCGGAAACGGAAAUGGCUGCCGGGAGCUCCACAAAUGCCCUGAACCGGCUUCCUCCCCAUCCCUGAAGUCACUCGUAGAGAUUUUAAAAAAUGCUUGUUGAUAAAAUGAAGGCAAAAUGUAUGAUGAGAGUGACUGGAGGAAUCAAUGUCUGCCUGGUGACCUUCUCUUCAUCCUCAAGAGCUGCCCCAAUACCCUCUUCUUUGUGGUACCC